rnacentral:rRNA from 1 species
UACGUAGGGGGCGAGCGUUGUCCGGAAUUACUGGGCGUAAAGCGCACGUAGGCGGCUCUUUAAGUCGGGGGUGAAAUCCUGGAGCUCAACUCCAGAACUGCCUUCGAUACUGAAGAGCUCGAGUCCGGGAGAGGUGAGUGGAACUGCGAGUGUAGAGGUGAAAUUCGUAGAUAUUCGCAAGAACACCAGUGGCGAAGGCGGCUCACUGGCCCGGUACUGACGCUGAGGUGCGAAAGCGUGGGGAGCAAACAGG